rnacentral:tRNA from 1 species
GCACCUGUAGCUCAGUGGAUAGAGCACCGGACUUCUAAUCCGACGGUCGCAGGUUCGAAUCCUGCCAGGUGCG